rnacentral:rRNA from 1 species
AGCUCCAAUAGUGUAUAUUAAAGUUGCUGCGGUUAAAAAGCUCGUAGUUGGAUUUCGGGGGUAAGGGAUAAGGGUUAUUCAUUGAAUAAUCCAGUUCCUGCUUCCUAUUUUAGGAUAGAUAGCAAUAUCUUCCUAUCAUUUACUUUGAAAAAAUUAGAGUGUUCAAAGCAAGAUUUUUAUAUCUUUUGAAUAUUACAGCAUGGGAUAAUAGAAUAUGACAUUUAGUUUAUAUUUUAUUGGUUUCUAAAAGCUAAUGUGUAAUGAUUAAUAGGGAUAGUUGGGGUCGCUCGUAUUGAGUUGUCAGAGGUGAAAUUCUAGGAUUUACUCAAGACGAACUAAUGCGAAAGCAUUCGACAAGGAUGUUUUCA